GACGUAGGGCGCGAGCGUUGUCCGGAUUUAUUGGGCGUAAAGAGCUCGUAGGCGGCUUGUCGCGUCGACUGUGAAAACCCGCGGCUCAACUGCGGGCCUGCAGUCGAUACGGGCAGGCUAGAGUUCGGUAGGGGAGACUGGAAUUCCUGGUGUAGCGGUGAAAUGCGCAGAUAUCAGGAGGAACACCGGUGGCGAAGGCGGGGU
rnacentral:rRNA from 1 species